rnacentral:rRNA from 1 species
GACGAACGCUGGCGGCGUGCUUAACACAUGCAAGUCGAACGAUGAAGCCCUUUCGGGGGUGGAUUAGUGGCGAACGGGUGAGUAACACGUGGGUAACCUGCCCUGUACCCUGGGAUAAGCCUUGGAAACGAGGUCUAAUACCGGAUAUGACCUGCUCUCGCAUGGGGGUGGGUGGAAAGUUUUGGCGGUGCAGGAUGGACCCGCGGCCUAUCAGCUUGUUGGUGGGGUGAUGGCCUACCAAGGCGACGACGGGUAGCCGGCCUGAGAGGGCGACCGGCCACACUGGGGCUGAGACACGGCCCAGACUCCUACGGGAGGCAGCAGUGGGGAAUAUUGCACAAUGGGCGAAAGCCUGAUGCAGCGACGCCGCGUGAGGGAUGAC